rnacentral:misc_RNA from 1 species
ACCUCAAGAAAUGGAGUCCAACAACCGUACUCCAACGGUGGUGGAGAUUUCUUCUUUUCAAUCUUUGUGCGCGCUGCUGUGGAAGGCGGUGACGCGGGCGAGGAAGCUGAGCCCAACCAAAACGACGACAUUUAGAAUGGCAGUGAAUUGCCGGCACCGUUUGAACCCGAAACUGCAUCCGCUUUAUUUCGGGAACGCAAUUCAAAGCAUACCCACAUACGCAUCAGCCGGUGACGUCUUAUCUCGCGAUUUGCGAUGGUGCGCCGAACAAUUAAAUGAGAACGUAAUAGCUCACAACGACGAGAUGGUGCGUCGUUUCGUAAAGCAUUGGGAGGAGAAUCCGAAGUGUUUCCCCUUGGGAA